GCCGAGCUGGUGAAAUUGGUAUACACGCAGGUUUUAGGUACCUGUGUCAUAAUGAAUGACUUGGGGGUUCAAAUCCCCCGCUCGGUA
rnacentral:tRNA from 2 species